GAGGACAGAGCAGCUUCCCCAUGGGCUUUGCAGGAGCAGUGCUCUGGGGCAGCUUCCCCACAGGCUCACAAUAGCAUGUCACCAGCCACCCCUUCCUCUGGGUGGAGGGGACAUCAGGAGGAAAUGACAGACGGGCUGAGCUUGUGUGUGUGCUGUGCACAUAUGUGGCUUCUUCUUGAGCCAUUUCUGAGCUGACAAGAUCCUCCUUCCUCUCUAGGUCCCCAGACGAGGCCUUUCCUGGAGGUCUUGGCUGCGGCAGUGGGAGCGGCCACUACACGCUAGAGUGGGCAGCCUGUGCUGCCUCUGGUGUCACCGAAGCCCCCUGUGAGAAGGCAGAGAAGGAGGCCAAGCUGGUCACCCAGAGGUCAGGAGAGCAGAGAGAGACCGUGAAACCAUUUGACCUGAACUACGGAUAUGGGUAUCAGCUCAAAUCUUCAGGGAAAGAAGGAUCCAGGCAAAAUGAGCCCUCCCCCUUCAGGCUUCGACCAGUGACUCCUGGACCAAAGCUGCCACUGCCUUCACCAGCACCAAGCCUGGCUCUGCUGAGGACUGUGAUUUCAGCUUGCAGCCCGGCUCUGCCUCUGAGGGGGAUUCCAGUUGUCAGACUUCAGGACACAUUGGCCAGUAACGCUGCCACUGCCCAGCAGAUCCCAAUUUCCCUUCCCACGUCUCUGCAAGCUCAAGCCCAGCUGGGACAGAGGGGAGGGCUGCCCGUCUCCCAGUCUCAGGAGAUCUUCAGCUCCUUACAGCCCUUCAGGCCUCCGUGGAGGUUCCAGUCCAGCUUGGAGAGACUGUCAAGAAAUGAGAAAAAACCUGCACAGUGUAACCUGUGGAAAGGUGAUGAGAUGUCUGGCCAGAAAUGCAGCAGGAGAAAAGAGAGGGUUUCUCCAUUUUCAACUGGGUGGUCAGGGUUGGCUUUGUUGUGAAGCAGAGAUGGAGUGAAGACUUGAGGGAGGUUUGGGAGUGUGAGGAGACCAGUGUGGCUGGAGCAGAGUGGGUGAAGAGGAGAGCAGCAGGACAGGGGGCCGAGAGCUGGCAGGACCUGGAUGUGGAGGCCUCAGGGCACAUGCUGAGGGCUUGUGCUCAGAGUGAAGUGGGAGGUGGUGGAGGGUGGCUGUGGGUUGGAUUGUGUCCCCCAGAAAAAGAUGUUGAAGUCCUAAUCCCUGGAGCCUGUGAAUGGGACAAAAUCAUGCCAUUUUGAAAAAUUCAUUGUGUUUUUACUAUUUCAUUUCUGGCAUUAAUAAAGGUCAUAAGGAAGAAUCAUG
rnacentral:lncRNA from 1 species